GAAAUGCGAUAAGUAAUGUGAAUUGCAGAAUUCCGUGAAUCAUCGAAUCUUUGAACGCACAUUGCGCCCUCUGGCAUUCCGGGGGGCAUGCCUGUCCGAGCGUCAUUACGCACCCUCAAGUCCGGCUUGUGUGAUGGGCCCCGGCGUCUCGUUCGCGAGACGGGCCCGAAAGGCAGCGGCGGCGUCGACCCGAUGAGCCCGAGCGUAUGGGGACUUCUGUCACACGUUCGCGGUGCGGACCGGCGCCUGCUUGACUUUUCUGAUUAUCCAGGUUGACCUCGGAUCAGGUAGGGAUACCCGCUGAACUUAGGC
rnacentral:misc_RNA from 1 species